rnacentral:tRNA from 1 species
GCCGGUGUGAUGGAAUGGCAGACAUACGGGACUUAAAAUCCCGGGAGGAUCAAACCUCAUGUGGGUUCGAGUCCCACCACCGGCACCA